UACAGAGGGUGCAAGCGUUGUUCGGAAUUAUUGGGCGUAAAGCGCGUGUAGGCGGCUUAGCAAGUCGGGCGUGAAAGCCCUCGGCUCAACCGUGGAAGUGCCCCCGAUACUGCUUGUCUUGAGGGAGAUAGGGGCGUGCGGAACUUCCGGUGGAGCGGUGAAAUGCGUAGAUAUCGGAAGGAACACCGGUGGCGAAGGCGGGUCUCUGGGCAGUAACUGACGCUGAGGAGCGAAAGCGUGGGGAGCGAACAGG
rnacentral:rRNA from 1 species